rnacentral:rRNA from 1 species
GACGAACGCUGGCGGCGUGCUUAACACAUGCAAGUCGAACGGUGAACUCCGCUUGCGGGGGGAUCAGUGGCGAACGGGUGAGUAACACGUGGGCAACCUGCCCUCAGCUCUGGGAUAACUCCAAGAAAUUGGGGCUAAUACCGGAUAUGACCGCUGACCGCAUGGUCUGGUGGUGGAAAGAUUUAUCGGCUGGGGAUGGGCCCGCGGCCUACCAGCUUGUUGGUGGGGUAGUGGCCUACCAAGGCGACGACGGGUAGCCGGCCUGAGAGGGUGACCGGCCACACUGGGACUGAGACACGGCCCAGACUCCUACGGGAGGCAGCAGUGGGGAAUAUUGCGCAAUGGGCGAAAGCCUGACGCAGCGACGCCGCGUGGGGGAUGACGGCCUUCGGGUUGUAAACCUCUUUCAGCAGGGACGAAGCGAAAGUGACGGUACCUGCAGAAGAAGCACCGGCCAACUACGUG